UACGUAGGGGGCAAGCGUUGUCCGGAUUUAUUGGGCGUAAAGCGCUCGCAGGUGGUCCGAUACGUCGUGCGUGAAAGCCCCCGGCUCAACUGGGGAGUGUCGUGCGAUGCGGUCGGACUGGAGGCCAGUAGGGGGAUGCGGAAUUCCGGGUGUAGUGGUGGAAUGCGUAGAGAUCCGGAGGAACACCAGCGGCGAAGGCGGCAUCCUGGACUGGUCCUGACACUCAUGAGCGAAAGCGUGGGGAGCGAGUCCGG
rnacentral:rRNA from 1 species